rnacentral:rRNA from 1 species
GGUCGCAAGAUUAUAACUCAAAGGAAUUGACGGGGGCCAGCACAAGCGGUGGAGCAUGUGGUUUAAUUAGAAGCAACGCGCAGAACCUUACCAGCUCUUGACAUCCCGAUCGCGGACAGUGGAGACAUUGUCCUUCAGUUAGGCUGGACCGGUGACAGGUGCUGCAUGGCUGUGGUCAGCUCGUGUCGUGAGAUGUUGGGUUAAGUCCCGCAACGAGCGCAACCCUCGCCCUUAGUUGCCAGCAUUCAGUUGGGCACUCUAAGGGGACUGCCGGUGAUAAGCCGAGAGGAAGGUGGGGAUGACGUCAAGUCCUCAUGGCCCUUACGGGCUGGGCUACACACGUGCUACAAUGGUGGUGACAGUGGGCAGCGAGACCGCGAGGUCGAGCUAAUCUCCAAAAGCCAUCUCAGUUCGGAUUGCACUCUGCAACUGGAGUGCAUGAAGUUGGAAUCGCUAGUAAUCGCAGAUCAGCAUGGUGCGGUGAAUACGUUCCCAGGCCUUGUACACACCGCCCGUCACACCAUGGGAGUUGGUUUUACC